GGGGUUGUGGCUCAGAGGUAGAGCACUCACCUACCAUGUGUGAGGCACCGGUUUCGAUUCUCAGCACCA
rnacentral:tRNA from 1 species